ensembl:lncRNA
ACCGUUUAGGCACAAGUAUCGUUUUAAAAGUAUCGGUUUAGCACCGGUAUUGGAAAAAACCCAAACGAUACCCAUCCCUAAUUGUAUGCAGGCUAUAAGUUGUCUUGAAAUUUACAUCUAUCACAAUACAUUUACAUUUACAUUACAUUUAGCAGACGCUUUUGUCCAAAGCGACGUACAAGGGAGAGAACAGUCAAUCUACGCGCAAUAGAGACCUAGUGUAACAAUAAAUACUACUUUACAUAAGAAAUAGAAAAACAAAAUAGAAAAGAAAAAGAAGUGCAGGAAUGUAACUGCUGUAAGUGCAAGUUAAGCACUAGUCGAAGUGCCAGUUAGGAAGGGAGUCAAUAUUGAUAUUGAUGUUGUGGUGGAUGACCUGUUUGGCUGGAAAGACCAUCAGUUCCGUUUUGGCCAGGUUCAGCUGAAGGUGGUGAUUUUUCAUCCAUGUGGAUAUAUCAGCGGGACAGUCCGAUUUCCGCGCCGAGACAUUGGUGUCCUCAGGGGGGAAAGAGAAACAGUUGAGUAUCAUCGGCAUAACAGUGAUAGGAAAAACCAUGCGAGCGGAUGAUAGGGCCCAACGAGGUGGUGUUAAUGGCAAAGAGAAGUGGUCCUAUCACCAAGCCUUGGGGCACCCCUGUGGUGAGGCCGUGAGGUACAGACAGCUGACCUUGCCAUGACACGUUGAACGAGCACACAGUGAGGUACGAUUCAAACCAGGAGUGUGCCUUGCCAGAAAUGCCCAUACUUGACAGUAUGGACAGAAGGAUGCGGUGGUUGACUGUAUCAAACGCAGCUGAUAAGUCAAGCAGGACGAGAGCCGAGGAUUGAGCUGCUGCUCUAGCUGUUUUUAAGGCUUCUGUCACAGACACGGGUGUUUCGGUGGAGUGACUGCUUUUGAAUCCAGACUGUUUUGGAUCAAGAACUCUGUGACCUGUUUGGAAGCUGCCCUCUCUAUAGUUUUCGAUAGGAGCGUGAAGUGAGACCGGCCGAUAGUUUUCCACCUGAGUGGGAUCGAGAGACGGCUUCUUGAGCAGCGGUGUUACCUGAGCCACUUUGAAUAGAGAAGGAAAUGUUCCAGAAUUAAAUUAAGCAUUAAUCACCUGUGUGAUUGCCG